rnacentral:antisense_RNA from 1 species
AGAGUCGCCCUGGGAGAGCCGAGGGCCUGAGGGUCGACCACCAAGGGCAGAGCCUAUCCCUUGGGGAGCUGCUGGAGGAGACAGGCAGCGCCGGGAGGUGGCUCACACCGCACCGCCGAGAGCGCUUUGCCCUCGCAUCGCUGAAAUUUAAUCACGGUCACAGAGCUGGAAGACAGCUGUUCCUGGAUCACACCAGAAUGGAGAAGCAAGCUCCUCCCACUAGCAGAAAGCCUUUGCUUUCUGUGCCUGGAUUCGGAAGAUUAGUUAAGCACUGGAAGAGGAGGGGGGAAACAACAACUCGUUUUUGCUUAGAUUUCCACCUGUUCCCAUCCUCCACAGUCUCCCAUCCCACCAGCAACACACGUGAGAUAUCUGAUGCCUUCCCAUCAAUAACUCUCACUUAGUAUGGGUAAGCAAAAAAUUUCCAACCAGGGAUGGAAGUUGUGGAGAGAUAGAGUGGGAAAGCUCAAGGAGCAUUGAUAGGGAUCAUUAAUUAAAAAUCUACCAAACAUCUCUUUCUCUCCCUAAUGUGCGAGUUACAAUAACAUCACUCAAAGCAGUUUGCAGCCACAGCUUGAAGAAAUACAGUAACAAUGACAGAAUUAACAUUCACUAUCUUUAUUAACAUUUUUACUUUCUUAAACCUUGUUUCUUUCAAAAGACACUGGCAUAGUCCUGUAUGAAUUAUGUGGAUUUGCCAAGAGAAAAAAAUAAAAUGAUACAACAAAUGGUGUUCCAAGUUUGACAGACCCUUUGUGCCAGUGGCUCUGAAAGGCUUCAGAAUGAAUAUCCAAUUCAGAAAUCAGUCCCUAAUAUUUCAGAUUAGUGAAGAAUCAACAGACUGAACAGCAUUUGUAUUCAGAAAGGAAGAAAAUAAAUGAAUUUUUAAAAUAUCA